CUGUCAAGCUCAUAAGAGCUAAUGUAACACAAUACAUCGUCGCAUGACCUCGCCAGUUGCGAUCCCGGACCGCACAGGGGUCCGAUAAAGGGAGCAGCAACGGCCCGUCCCAGGCGCUCACACGUCGCCGGGGCAGAGCGAGAGCGCACACGUUGGCACCCGACAGAUGGUGGACAAUGCCCAGGCAGGACGAGGCCAGAGGAAACUCUGGUGGAGGUCCGAAGCGAUUCUAACGUGCGAAGCGAUUCUAACGUAUAGGGGCGAAAGACCAAUGGAACCAUCUAGUAGCUGG
rnacentral:rRNA from 1 species